ensembl:snRNA U6 U6 spliceosomal RNA
GUGCUCGCAUCAGCAGCACAUAUACUAAAACUGGAAUGACACAGAGAAGAUUAGCAUGGCCCCUGUGCAAGGAUGACUCGCAAAUCAGUGAAGGGUUCCCUAUUUUU